AUUGAACGCUGGCGGCAGGCCUAACACAUGCAAGUCGAACGAGCGGCGGACGGGUGAGUAAUGUAUGGGCAACUGCCCGAUGGAGGGGGAUAACUACUGGAAACGGUUGCUAAUACCGCAUACCAUCGGAUGUGCCCAGAUGGGAUUAGCUUGUUGGUGGGGUAACGGCUCACCAAGGCGACGAGCACUAGCUGGUCUGAGAGGAUGACCAGCCACACUGGGACUGGGACACGGUCCAGACUCCUACGUGAGGCAGCAGUGGGGAAUAUUGCACAAUGGGCGCAAGCCUGAUGCAGCCAUGCCGCGUGUAUGAAGAAGGCCUUCGGGUUGUAAAGUACUUUCAGCGGGGAGGCGUUACCCGCAGAAGAAGCACCGGCUAACUCCGUGCCAGCAGCCGCGGUAAUUC
rnacentral:rRNA from 1 species